AUGAGAAUUGCAGGAUACCUGGAUCAUCGAUCUGUCGAACGCACAUUGC
rnacentral:rRNA from 1 species